CUUGGUAUAUCUAAAUAUAAGGGCUGGGUUCUUACCUCAGUAAUGUGUUGAAUACACUACGAAGA
rnacentral:tRNA from 1 species